AAAUUCAAAACAGAUAAAAAAAGUAGAUUCCCUCCAAACCAGUAGACAAAAAGCCACUCUCCCUCCCUCCCUCCCUCUCUCUCUCUCUCUUGCCCGCUAAAGAAAAAAAGAAACAAAAAUCCCACCCUGACGGAAUCAUGUCUCCUCGUAUAUAAAUCUUUCUUUUACCACUUAAUUCCUAUCAAUCUCUUUCUCCAACAAAAUCUCCCACUCUCAAUCUGCAAGCAGCCAUUAUAUAUCGAAGGAAUCUUCGAUGAACUCAGAGCUCCAUCGAAGCAGCUGAUCAUCGUCGUUCAUGUACGCCUAUCCUGAAACCAAAAGUACUAAAUAAAUAUGAUACAAAUGUUCGUGAUACAUGAAAGUCUGCCUCAAGGGACUGUGCAAAGCGAAUAAAGCCACCAGUUACUUCAAUUUCAAACGAGCCAUGGGGAAGGAUGAUUCUUGGAUCUAUCAAGCCAUAGAUGUAUUAGUUUAGAGAUAUUUCUGCUGUCGCU